AGAAGGAAGGGCGUAAUAGUCGAUGAAAUUCUUUGGGGAGUUGAAAACCAUCAUAGAUACGAAGAUCCCUAUAUAGGGUAACCUUUCAAACUACUAUUGAAUCCAUAGGCAGUAAAGAGAUAACCAAGCAUACUAAAAGAUCUUAGUAUCUAGAGGGAAAGAAAGAAAAAUCGAUUCCCAUAGUAGUGGAAGGCUAAAUAAGAGCUGCCUAAAUAGUGAAAACAAGGUUGUGGGAGAGCGGAAUAAGUAUCAUCUAGAUAGGCGAAGCAGCCCAAAGGUUACACCCUAUUUCUCAGGUCAUGAUGGCACCUACUUUAACCCACCAGUAGGUUUUCCAAUCCAUAGUCUGGAACCACAAGUAAUGGACU
rnacentral:ncRNA from 1 species